rnacentral:rRNA from 1 species
UCCGUAGGUGAACCUGCGGAGGGAUCAUUACACAAUAUGAAAGCGGGCUGGCAUCCUUCGGGGUUACAGCCUUGCUGAAUUAUUCACCCGUGUCUUUUGCGUACUUCUUGUUUCCUUGGUGGGUUCGCCCACCAUAGGACAAACCAUAAACCUUUUGUAAUUGCAAUCAGCGUCAGUAAAAAAAUUAAUAAUUACAACUUUUAACAACGGAUCUCUUGGUUCUGGCAUCGAUGAAGAACGCAGCGAAAUGCGAUAAGUAGUGUGAAUUGCAGAAUUCAGUGAAUCAUCGAAUCUUUGAACGCACAUUGCGCCCUUUGGUAUUCCAAAGGGCAUGCCUGUUCGAGCGUCAUUUGUACCCUCAAGCUUUGCUUGGUGUUGGGCGUCUUGUCUCCAGUUCGCUGGAGACUCGCCUUAAAGUAAUUGGCAGCCGGCCUACUGGUUUCGGAGCGCAGCACAAGUCGCGCUCUCUUCCAGCCAAGGUCAGCAUCCACAAAGCCUUUUUUCAACUUUUGACCUCGGAUCAGGUAGGGAUACCCGCUGAACUUAAGCAUAUCAAUAAGCGGA